UACGGAGGGUGCAAGCGUUAAUCGGAAUUACUGGGCGUAAAGCGCACGCAGGCGGCUGUUUAAGUCAGAGGUGAAAUCCCCGGGCUUAACCGGGGAAUUGCAUCUGAUACUGGUGAGCUAGAGUGUUGUAGGGGGGGGUAGAAUUCCAUGUGUAGCGGUGAAAUGCGUAGAGAUGUGGAGGAAUACCGAUGGCGAAGGCGGCCCCCUGGACAAAGACUGACGCUCAGGUGCGAAAGCGUGGGGAGCAAACAGG
rnacentral:rRNA from 1 species